GACGAACGCUGGCGGCGUGCCUAAUACAUGCAAGUAGGACGCAGUUGCGAACGGGUGAGUAACGCGUAGGUAAAUGCCUAUUAGAGGGGGCUAACUAUUGGAAACGAUAGCAAAUACCGCAUACUAGUAGAUGGACCUGCGUUUUUUUGGCUAGUAGGUAGGGUAAUGGCCUACCUAGGCGACGAUACAUAGACGACCUGAGAGGGUGAUCGGCCCAAACGGGACUGAGACACGGCCCAGACUCCUACGGGAGGCAGCAUUAGGGGAGCUUCGGCAAUGGGGGGAACCCUGACCGAGCAACGCCGGGUGAGUGAAGAAGGUUUUCGGAUCGUAAAGCUCUGUUGUUAAGGAAGCGGUACUUAACCAGAAAGGGACGGCUAACUACGUGCCAGCAGCCGCGGUAAUUC
rnacentral:rRNA from 1 species